UCCAGACUCCUACGGGAGGCAGCAGUGAGGAAUAUUGGUCAAUGGGCUUACGCCUGAACCAGCCAAGUCGCGUGAGGGAAGACUGCCCUAUGGGUUGUAAACCUCUUUUGUCAGGGAGCAACGCCGGCUACGUGUAGCCGGACUGAGAGUACCUGAAGAAAAAGCAUCGGCUAACUCCGUGCCAGCAGCCGCGGUAAUACGGAGGAUGCGAGCGUUAUCCGGAUUUAUUGGGUUUAAAGGGUGCGUAGGCGGAAUGCCAAGUCAGCGGUAAAAUCGCGGGGCUCAACCCCGCUCCGCCGUUGAAACUGCGUUUCUUGAGUGGGCGAGAAGUACGCGGAAUGCGUGGUGUAGCGGUGAAAUGCAUAGAUAUUGCGCAGAACUCCGAUUGCGAAGGCAGCCUACCGGCUCCUGUCUGACGCUGAGGCACGAAAGCGUGGGGAUCGAACAGGAUUAGAUACCCCGGUAUGG
rnacentral:rRNA from 1 species